rnacentral:misc_RNA from 1 species
AAAGUGCGAUAAGCAAUGCGAAUUGCAGACCGUGAGUCAUUAGAAUUUCGAAAGCAACUUGCACCUCCGCCUGGCGAGAGGUAUGUUCGCUUCAGUGUAUCUUUAUACAAACACACAAAUACCAUAACUAACCAAAUCAUGAAGUGAGUGAGCACUUGUGCUCUCUUCACAACGUAUGAAAGUAGCUGUAUUUGCAUUGAGUGCGUAGUGCCUAGUCUCUAGGAAUUACGCAUUCACCCAUUAAUCCGAUCACCUCGUGUGAACAGUUAAUAGGGGUAAGUGCAGGCGAUAAGCGACUACUUAGCCUCGCAAGCAAACUGUUUGCCAUAUCUGAAGUCGAGCAAGAGCACGCGCUGAACUUAA